UACGGGGGGGGCAAGCGUUGUUCGGAAUUACUGGGCGUAAAGGGCGCGUAGGCGGCCUUCUAAGUCGGACGUGAAAUCCCCAGGCUUAACCUGGGAACUGCAUCCGAUACUGGUCGGCUUGAAUCCGGGAGAGGGAUGCAGAAUUCCAGGUGUAGCGGUGAAAUGCGUAGAUAUCAGGAGGAACACCGGUGGCGAAGGCGGAUCUCUGGGCCAUUACUGACGCUGAGGAGCGAAAGCGUGGGGAGCGAACAGG
rnacentral:rRNA from 1 species